rnacentral:rRNA from 1 species
AUUGAACGCUGGCGGCAUGCCUAACACAUGCAAGUCGAACGGAGAUAGGGGCAACCUUAUUUCAGUGGCGGACGGGUGAGGAAUGCGUCGGAAUCUGCCCUAUGGUGGGGGAGUAACACAGGGAAACGUUGUGCUAAUACCGCAUAAUGUCGAGAGACCAAAGACAGGGGACCGGCAAGGCCUUGCGCGAUAGGAUGAGCCGACGCCCGAUUAGCUUGUUGGUAGGGUAAUGGCCUACCAAGGCGACGAUCGGUAGCUGGUCUGAGAGGAUGAUCAGCCACACUGGGACGUGAGACACGGCCCAGACUCCUACGGGA